GACGAACGCUGGCGGCGUGCCUAAUACAUGCAAGUCGAACGCAGUGGGGACGGGUGAGUAACACGUGGGUAACCUCCCAUCAGAGGGGAUAAACCUUGGAAACAGGUGCUAAACCGAUACUGAUGGAUGGACCCGCGGUGCAUUGGCUAGGUGGUGAGGUAACGGCUCACCGAGGCCACGAUGCAUAGCCGACCGUGGAGGGUGAUCGGCCACACUGGGACUGAGACACGGCCCAGACUCCGACGGGAAGCAGCAGUAGGGAAUCUUCGGCAAUGGACGAAAGUCUGACCGAGCAACGCCGCGUGAGUGAAGAAGGUUUUCGGAUCGUAAAACUCUGUUGUUAGAGAAGCGGUAUCUAACCAGAAAGCCACGGCUAACUACGUGCCAGCAGCCGCGGUAAUUC
rnacentral:rRNA from 1 species